GUUUGCUAGUGAUUGAAACAACAUUCAGCAACAUUUGUGACUCCUCAGAUACUGAAACAGUCCGUCCAUAUACUGAGGCAUCUGAGCAAUUUUGGAAAAUUGACAGCAACACAACAGUUAUCACAAAAGUACUAUUCCCCAAAGCCACUUCAAGUUUCCACGCAUGGUGUCGGAACAUCAGUCAUGGUUGUGACAUCUGAUUUCAGAAGUCGCUGUUGCACAUGGACCUUGGAGGCCUACACAUCCGGCAAAAGGUUUAGAGGGAACCCUCCUCACGAGCCAUUUCAUUGUGGUAGAGUCUUAAGUCCUUCGGAGCCUUGUCAUUGGUGCGUACAUGGACCAUAACAACUGGAAUCGCCCAGCCAGAUGUCUUGAGCCCUGGAACCAGACAGGCAGCACAAUCCUCUGGACUCUUGCUCUUUGCGGCAGAGACAAGUAUUGAUCUUCCUCAUUAUACAGUCCUCUAUUAACUCUUCAUUCCGUUUUGUUCUAUGCAUUUGAAUGGCUUUCUGUAUCAUGGCGCAUUAGUCAGUUAGCUCUCUUCACUUUCAUCUAUACAAGCAAAAAGAACCUCAAACCUUUCAGACAAUUGAAAAGGCUGAGGUUCCUGCUCUUCUUCUCUCCAGAUCUCCUGACGUGCCUCCCUUGCAGUCCCAUCAUCCUUUACCUGACCAAUAGCUAAAUUAGAAGAUCCUAUCCUAAGGGUUUGUCCGCCUCCUGAAAUAGUAUGCCCUGAUUGUUUUUCCCAUCCCUGAUGUGUCUCACUGCAUUUAGUUUGGACUCCAGUUCAUAAACUAUAAGCUGAGGCUACUUGGGUUGCAAACACUAUUGCAUUUUUACUGUGGAUCACAUUGGCAUCCAGGAGACCCCACAUUCCACUGUCGCAACACAUCUCCCACCCCAUCAUCCUUAAUGUAUUUCAGCUAACCACUUAAUAAUUUUAUUCAAUUAUUUAUUUUCAUUUUUGUAAAUAUAUUUUGUCAUCCUUACCUCAAAUCCCU